ACCUUACCAAGGCUUGACAUAUACAGGAAAAGCGUAGAAAUACGCUCCCCGCAAGGUCUGUAUACAGGUGGUGCAUGGUUGUCGUCAGCUCGUGUCGUGAGAUGUUGGGUUAAGUCCCGCAACGAGCGCAACCCUCGUCCUAUGUUGCCAGCACGUAAUGGUGGGAACUCAUGGGAUACUGCCGGGGUCAACUCGGAGGAAGGUGGGGAUGACGUCAAAUCAUCAUGCCCCUUAUGUCUUGGGCUUCACGCAUGCUACAAUGGCCGGUACAGAGGGCUGCAAUACCGUAAGGUGGAGCGAAUCCCAAAAAGCCGGUCUCAGUUCGGAUUGAGGUCUGCAACUCGACCUCAUGAAGUCGGAGUCGCUAGUAAUCGUAGAUCAGCAACGCUACGGUGAAUACGUUCCCGGGCCUUGUACACACCGCCCGUCAAGUCACGAAAGUCGAUAACACCCGAAGCCGGUGGCCUAACCGCAAGGAGG
rnacentral:rRNA from 1 species